ACUCACCUUCAUCUUCUUCUUCAAUCUUCGUUUGGAUUUCUUGAUGUUUUCAUGGUAUCAUAGCAGGACGAUAAUCCGUCGAUACUCUCCUGCAUUUUGUUAUCUCAGUCGAAAUCUCGUUGGAAAAUUUUCGGGUGUUUCUGAGAUAUUUGGUCAGUCAUGAUUCCGAUCAAAAAUCGGGUGUUGAUCUGAGACUUUUAUCACAAUAACUGGUUGCAUCUUCACUACUCGGACGUUUUGGGUUGGUUUUCCGACGUUCUCGAGUCGAUUCUGGCGAGGCUUCAGAUUUUAGGGUUUCUGCUGUUCGGAACUGGCAUUUUUCUCUAUUAAUCGAAAUCCGGCGAGGCUUCAGAUUUUAGGGUUUCUACUGGGUUUCUGCUGUUCGGAACUCGCAUUUUUCUGUUAAUCGAAGGCCGAUCUUCUCCGGUCGCGAAGAAGGAGGGUAAAUUUGUUCCUAUUUUAGGUGCUAUAUGAUUUGCAUGAAUUUUUUGAUACAACUUUAGUUUUUCAAACUACUUGCAGAUAUUAUAUUUUGACUUUAAACUCAUUGGUCUUCAUGGCUGCUAACAUGAGUACUAAUACAACUCCUGUUGAUCCUACCAGUCCCUUAUUUGNNN
rnacentral:lncRNA from 1 species